rnacentral:rRNA from 1 species
AGAUUGAACGCUGGCGGCAUGCCUUACACAUGCAAGUCGAACGGCAGCACGGGGCAACCCUGGUGGCGAGUGGCGAACGGGUGAGUAAUGCAUCGGAACGUGCCCAGUAGUGGGGGAUAACUAGUCGAAAGAUUAGCUAAUACCGCAUACGACCUAUGGGUGAAAGCGGGGGAUUCGCAAGAACCUCGCGCUAUCGGAGCGGCCGAUGUCUGAUUAGCUAGUUGGCGGGUAAAGCCCACCAAGGCUUCGAUCAGUAGCUGGUCUGAGAGGACGACCAGCCACACUGGGACUGAGACACGGCCCAGACUCCUACGGGAGGCAGCAGUGGGGAAUUUUGGACAAUGGGCGCAAGCCUGAUCCAGCCAUGCCGCGUGCGGAAGAGGCCUUCGGUGUAACCGCUUUUGGCAGGUAACGAAACGGCGCGAGCGAAGUAUCGUCGACGUUAAUGUACGUACCGUGACAGAAAUAACGCGAACCGGUACUAACGUACGUAGUCGAGCGAACG